AAGAUAACUCAACAAUCUUUUGAUCAACGAAAAUUCGUAAUAAUAAAAAAAAAAAAAAAUCCAUAAAAGUGUAUAUUAUUUUAUUGCACAAAUAACUUCACCAUAGGUGUGUAUACAUAUAUAUGUAUACACAUUAUAAUACUUAUACUUGUUUAAAUAAUAAGGAAAAUGAAGAACUGAGAAACAGAAAUGAUGAAGCGCUGCGCAAAUAUGAAAACCUUAAACAUGCCAAAUACACCUACCAAUAAUGGUUAAAAAAAAUAAAGGAAAAAAAAAAAAAAAAACAAAAUUGAACGUGAAUAGGGCAAGAAUAAAACCUAAAUAAAACAUUAUUAAUAAGAUUAUAAAUUUUGUUAACACAUUUUUUAUUUUACUCUUAACAGAAAGAAAAGAAGCUCUUAUAUUUUUAUUUAAAUUCGCUAGAAAGAACUGUGAAAGUUUUAAAAAGUACUGAACAAUAUGCCAACAAAAGUCUUCAAAAAAAAAUAUUAGAAAAUAAAAAAUUGAAAAAAGCUGUAGAAGAAAAAAAAAUGGAAAUUUAUGAAAUAAAAAGCAAAAAUAAUGAUAUAUUAAAAUACAUGAAUGUUGACAAAGAACAUAGUAAUAUAUUAAGAAUAAGGAGAGAGAUGAUCAACGAAUAUAAAGUUAAAAAGUUAAAAAAUGCUGAUAUACAACUACUGAUAUACAAAAAAGGAAAAUAUAAAAAACUUGCUUUAUAUUACAUUCUUUAUGGUAAUUAUCUAAAAUUAAAAGCUUCAGCCAUUUUCGAUAAUGCAAGCAAUAUAUAUGCUGCGAUAUCCAAAUUAAGAGAAGCUACGGGUGUUACGGACAUAUACGAUAUAAAUCAGAAAUUUAUAGACAUUGAAAAUAAAAAAAUUAUAUUAAAAAAAGAAGAAGAAUUAUCUCAACAAAAGCUUGAAGACGCUAUUAGAGCAUUCGUCGCUACAAAUGAUGAGAUAAUAAACGAAUUUGAAGCCGCACAAGCAGGAAAAUCAACAGAUGAAAAACCUAAAAAAAAAAAACGUAUUACAGUAGAUGAAAUGUUGGAAUUGUAUAGGAACGUUUUUAAUGGAGAAAGAGAACUGUCAGAUCUUAAUAUCAAGUUAGAAAAUAUACGAUAUUAUAUGGACAAACAAAAUAAAUAUUUUUAUUCAAUAAAUAUAGAGGAUAGAAUCGAAUUUAAUUCUCAUGAUGACGUGUUGCAAUAUUUAAAAAACUUUAAAGGCCCUCUUAGUAUAAUUAUGAAAUUAACACGAAAGAACAGAGAGACUGGAAAUUUUAGCAAAUCUUAUAGAUCUUUAGAAUUUUUCGACAUUUUAAAUCUGUAUAGAAGCUUGAAUUUUAACAAGGAUAUGUGCAAAGUUGAUGGUGGCCGUGAUAUUAAGAAGACAGUAAAGAUAGGUAUGCAUGCAGAUGCUCGUCAGUAUGUAUACAUACAUAUGUAUGUAUGUAUCUAUGUAUGUAUGUGUGCACACGUGCCUGUUCCUUUUAAAACUUUUUUUUUAUAACUUCUAUAUUUUUACUUUUUAAUAUUUUUGCGCUUUAAAAUUAUUUGACACAUUUUAAACAGAAUCAAAGGUGCUAACUAGAAAAAAACGUACUUAAUUAACUGUCCUCAGAAGAUAUCCUUUAGUAUUAUACGCACGCACAUGUGUGUGUUUUAUUUUUCAAUUUAUCGUAUGAUUCCAUAAUCCUAACAUUAUUUUAUAAAUUAUCUUGUGGCUAGGAUUUUUUUUUUUUUUUUUUCAUGAUGGAUUUUUUGAACUGCUCAAUUUAUGUUACAUUUUUUCUACGUACACAUAUGCGCAUAUAUACAUAUAUAAAUAUUACUAAAUAGCACCAUAAAUUAUCUAAAACCCUUGGGUUAUCCCUUUUAGCACCACCACUGCAACUGUUUUUUCGCUGUAUCUUUUUUUUUUUUUUUUUUUUUUUUUUUUAUUUAUUUAUAGUUAGACUCCAAUUCUAAAUUCUAUGUUGUUAAAGUAGGUGCUAUACCUACACACUUUAUGCACAUCCAAUCCCUUUGAAUUAAGGAUUUCAAUUUUCUCAAUUUUUCGACCAGUUAUUGACAUUCCGUUAACUCUUAAACUAACAUAAACACAAAAAUUAAAAAAGGAAUAUAUUGAAUUGCUGUCAUAAUUGGAAUAAUAGUUAUUACCAUAAUUGUUAAAAUAAUUAUUAUUAUUAUUAUUGUUAUUAUUAUUGUUAUUAUUAUUAUUAUUAGCAAUGUUGUAUGGUCCCUUAUAUUUAUCUAAUUGUUCUAUAUAGAUAUUAUUAUUAUUAUGUAAGGUUGAAUUUGUAUUUUCUGUUCUUAUAUGCAAAGUUAUAUUACAUGAUAUAAACGUAUUCGUAUCUUUAACUUUUUCUAUAAACCAUAAUAUACAAUUUGUUUUCUCAUCAUAUUUUAUUGUACCUAUUGUAUUUUGAAAGUUAAAAGAAUUAAUAAAAUGAUGUAAUGGUAUUUUGAAUAUUAUAUU
ensembl:lncRNA